GAAAUGCGAUACGCAAUGCGAAUUGCAGAACCGCGAGUCAUCAGAUCUUUGAACGCAAGUGGCGAUAGCUUUGGCUAUCAUGUUUGUUUCAGUGUAUCCGGUUAAUUACAUCAAAGAACUUAAUGUGAUUGAAGCAAUUCUCUCACCAAAUACGAGGUUACUUCAUUGUAACGCCUAACCGAAGCAGUCACUAAUCGGUGAUCAUCGUUUAGAGCCAAACAUUGUUUAACAGUAACUUAGAUACACUUUAUCCACUAAUGGUACCUGAAAUAAGCAAGACUACCCGCUGAACUUAA
rnacentral:misc_RNA from 1 species